rnacentral:rRNA from 1 species
GACGAACGCUGGCGGCGUGCUUAACACAUGCAAGUCGAACGCCCCUUCGGGGGAGUGGCGGACGGGUGAGUAACGCGUGGGAACGUGCCCUUUGGUUCGGAACAACACAGGGAAACUUGUGCUAAUACCGAAUGUGCCCUUCGGGGGAAAGAUUUAUCGCCAUUGGAGCGGCCCGCGUUGGAUUAGCUAGUUGGUGGGGUAAAGGCCCACCAAGGCGACGAUCCAUAGCUGGUCUGAGAGGAUGAUCAGCCACACUGGGACUGAGACACGGCCCAGACUCCUACGGGAGGCAGCAGUAGGGAAUCUUGCGCAAUGGGCGAAAGCCUGACGCAGCCAUGCCGCGUGAAUGAUGAAGGUCUUAGGAUUGUAAAAUUCUUUCACCGGGGAAGAUAAUGACGGUACCCGGAGAAGAAGCCCCGGCUAACUUCGUGCCAGCAGCCGCGGUAA